UAAUUAUUCUCCAGAUAUACUACGAGUUAUUUUAUAUUUUUAUAAAAACACCCAUGCUAGAACUAGUAAUAAGAAAUAUUUCUCUCUGCACACCCUUAAACCAGAAUAGAAAAACUACUGGUAAUUAACGGACCACAAAUGAAUUGACACACACUAACUAGCUACUAUGUCACCAUACACCCGUUACCCCAACACAGGAGUGCAUAAAAGAAAGGCUUAAAUCAGCAAAAGGAACUCGGCAAAAAGUAGUCCCAACUGUUUACCAAAAACAUAGCCUUUAGCUUUACAAGUAUUAAAGGUCCUGCCUGCCCAGUGACUCUCUUAAACGGCCGCGGUAUCCUAACCGUGCAAAGGUAGCAUAAUCACUUGUCCCCUAAAUAGGGACUAGAAUGAACGGCUAAAUGAGGACUUAACUGUCUCUUGCAGAAGGCCAAUGAAACUGAUCUCUCAGUCCAAAAGCUGAGAUACUAACAUAAGACGAGAAGACCCUGUGGAGCUUCAAACCUAGACCAUCAAGCAUGGACCCGUGGUUUUUAGUUGGGGCGACUUCGGAGUACAAAAAACCCUCCGACAAAACCUAUUAAGAUGCACACAUCAAAGUAACUUACCUAGACCCAGUAGUUGUUAUAAACUAUCUGAUCAAUGAACCAAGUUACCCCAGGGAUAACAGCGCUAUCCCCUUCUAGAGUCCUUAUCGACAAGGGGGCUUACGACCUCGAUGUUGGAUCAGGAUAUCCUAAUAGUGCAACCGCUAUUAAAGGUUCGUUUGUUCAACGAUUAAAAUCCUA
rnacentral:rRNA from 1 species